rnacentral:rRNA from 1 species
GAUGAACGCUGGCGGCGUGCCUAAUACAUGCAAGUCGAGCGAACGGACGAGAAGCUUGCUUCUCUGAUGUUAGCGGCGGACGGGUGAGUAACACGUGGAUAACCUACCUAUAAGACUGGGAUAACUUCGGGAAACCGGAGCUAAUACCGGAUAAUAUUUUGAACCGCAUGGUUCAAAAGUAAAAGACGGUCUUGCUGUCACUUAUAGAUGGAUCCGCGCUGCAUUAGCUAGUUGGUAAGGUAACGGCUUACCAAGGCAACGAUGCAUAGCCGACCUGAGAGGGUGAUCGGCCACACUGGAACUGAGACACGGUCCAGACUCCUACGGGAGGCAGCAGUAGGGAAUCUUCCGCAAUGGGCGAAAGCCUGACGGAGCAACGCCGCGUGAGUGAUGUAGGUCUUCGGAUCGUAAAACUCUGUUAUUAGGGAAGAACAUAUGUGUAAGUAACUGUGCUCAUCUUGACGGUACCUAAUCAGAAAGCCACGGCUAACUACGUG